rnacentral:rRNA from 1 species
UGGUCAAGUUAUUAAGGGUGCAGGGCGGAUGCCUUGGCACUAGGAGCCGAUGAAGGACGUGAUAAGCUGCGAUAAGCUUCGGGGAGUUGCACGUAAACUUUGAUCCGAAGAUUUCCGAAUGAGGAAACUCACUUAGAGUAAUGUCUAAGUAUCAUUAAGUGAAUACAUAGCUUAAUGAGGGGAACUCAGGGAACUGAAACAUCUAAGUACCUGAAGGAAGAGAAAGAAAUUCGAUUCCGUAAGUAGCGGCGAGCGAACGCGGAUUAGCCCAAACCAAUAAAGUUUUCUUUAUUGGGGUUGCGGACAUAUCAUAACGAAGAGGUAUCGUAAUUGAAGAGGUUUGGAAAGACCCACCACAGAAGGUAAUAGUCCUGUAUGUUAAACGAGAAGACUUCAGAUAUGAUCCAGAGUACCACGGGACACGUGAAACCCUGUGGGAAGCAGGAGGGACCACCCUCCAAGGCUAAAUACUACCUAGUGACCGAUAGCGUAUAGUACCGUGAGGGAAAGGUGAAAAGAACCCCGGGAGGGGAGUGAAAUAGAACCUGAAACCCUGCACUUACAAGCUGUGGAAGCACAUUUCUUGUGUGACCGCGUACUUUUUGUAGAACGGGCCAACGAGUUACGUUAAGUAGCAAGGUUAAGCACUUAAGGUGCGGAGCCGUAGCGAAAGCGAGUUUUAACUGAGCGUUCA